UACAGAGGUGGCAAGCGUUGUUCGGAAUUACUGGGCGUAAAGGGCGCGUAGGCGGCCUUCUAAGUCAGACGUGAAAUCCCCCGGCUUAACCUGGGAACUGCGUCUGAUACUGGGAGGCUAGAGUAUGGGAGAGGGAUGUAGAAUUCCAGGUGUAGCGGUGAAAUGCGUAGAUAUCUGGAGGAAUACCGGUGGCGAAGGCGGCAUCCUGGACCAUUACUGACGCUGAGGCGCGAAAGCUAAGGGGAGCAAACGGGG
rnacentral:rRNA from 1 species